rnacentral:rRNA from 1 species
UGUAUUCGACCUGAGCUCAGGCAAGGCU